rnacentral:pre_miRNA from 1 species
AUAUAAAUCACCUACGGAUCUUGUUAAAAUGCAGACUCUAAUUCAAUGGGUUUGGGGAGGAGCUGAGAUUCUGCAUUUCUAAUAAGCUCCUGGGAUACCAAU